AAGAUUUUAAGUUAUAUAAAACUAUAAGCCUUCAAAGUUUAAAAAAUAAAAGCAUUUUAUAAAUCUUA
rnacentral:tRNA from 1 species